CGACGCAGCGACGCCGCGUGGGUGACGAAGGCCUUCGGGUUGUAAAGCCCUGUGGGGUAGAACGAACUGGCAUCGGGCUAAUAUCCCGGUGUCUUGACGGUACUGCCUUAGCAAGCAUCGGCUAACUCUGUGCCAGCAGCCGCGGUAAGACAGAGGAUGCGAACGUUGCUCGGAUUUACUGGGCGUAAAGCGCGUGUAGGCGGUCUCGUUAGUCGGGUGUGAAAGCCCCGGGCUCAACCCGGGGAAGUGCACCCGAUACUGCGAGACUGGGGUACUGAAGAGGAGAGCGGAAUUCCCGGUGUAGAGGUGAAAUUCGUAGAUAUCGGGAGGAACACCAGUGGCGAAGGCGGCUCUCUGGGCAGAUACCGACGCUGAGACGCGAAAGCGUGGGGAGCAAACAGGAUUAGAUACCCUGGUAGUCCACGCUGUAAACGAUGACGACUGGGUGUUGCAGGUAUUGACCCCUGCGGUGCCGAAGCUAACGCGUUAAGUCGUCCGCCUGGGAAGUACGGCCGCAAGGCUAAAACUCAAAGGAAUUGACGGGGG
rnacentral:rRNA from 1 species